CUCCAUCUCAUGGUCCUACGCAGCCUUUUCCCCUUCUCUCUCUGAGACCACCACCACCACGAGGAUCAUCAUAUUUUUCUUCUUCUUCAUCAUCAUCAUCAUCUUUUCCUCUAAAUUAACUAAAAUUAUUUUCCUCUCUUUAGUUCCCAAUCCCUUUUCGCCUUUCUCUCGGCGUUUCCUCAAAUUUAUGCUAUCCGUUUUUUUCCUCUUCAAAUUGCUUUGUGUGUAGGUGAGAGAUCUUCUUUACCUUUCUUCUUAUCUUAUACCCUUUGAUCACGAAAGUUUUGCAGUUAGUAUUUCAUUAGUCUUUUGGUUUUAUUCUGAUUUCACCUUCCGAUCUAAUUUUUAGGGAUUUCAGAAGGGUUUAAGAGUUUCAAAAUGGAUCUAAGUUUGUGUCCUUUGUUUUUUCUUCCAUGUCCUAAUCAAAACUCUUGAAAAGGUUAACAAAAAAAAAUUUGCUUCUGAUUUAAUUGCAAUAGAAUGGGAUUACCCAUCACUGUCUUUUUAAGUAGUUUGGGAACAAUAUUUCCUCAAACUCGAGUUAUCUUCUCUUGUCAGAAACUAUCUUGUUCGACU
rnacentral:lncRNA from 1 species